ensembl:lncRNA
CAGCCUCCACUGCACUCUGCAUGUUAAUAGUUUCUAGAGAUGCAUACAUGUAACCUUUGGCUGGUGGCCUCCUGGGCAGGUAGCAGAACGACUAAGGACAGAAAUAGGCAGAAGAAGUGGUGGUUGGGAUAAUGUAGCAUCUAAAUGAACAUGUUGAGAAGCUGACACUGUUUACACCUCGCCUGUGUGCAGAUACUUAUCUCUCACAUAGGCAGUAUGAUUCAUUGUUUAUGCUUUGCUUUUACAAAUAGAUGGUUUAAAAGGGCUUAACUCCUGUAACUGUGUGUUACCUACUUCCUGAGUUCAUGAGUAUUUGAAGUAAAUGCUCAUGAACCUGUCAUGUCACCACACACACACCAGCUGCUGACUCGGAGAAUGAACCUAAUGAACCAACCCCUACCACUAAAAAUGUUGUUUAUUACCACGGUUACGAUCUCUAAAUGACAACAAUGUCAUUUUACCAAGUCGGUAUGUAGCAGUUGACUCUCCACUUUCUCCCGAGGGGAUUUCAUUUACCUUCGUGAGUUGGUGGCGUGCCGUGUGUCAGCAGGAGGAAAUGGAAGCCAGAAGGGAAGAGGGACAGGAAGGAAGAGAGGGAAAGGGAGCGACCACGCGGUGCGUGUCGUUGGAACGUUUAUUUGUCCUACAGUGAGUCCUACCAGGCCCAACACGUUAUUGCACCUGGCAUUUACGCCACGUGGGAUUGGCCAAUCAGGACGCGUGGUGGACUAAGCAAAGUUGAGAGUACAAGCAAUCCGUCUGAAACCCCUCACUAUGGAUAUUGG